GUCAAAUACAUGAACACAACAACGUGUAGCUAUGAAUGGAGAGGGAUGCUUUAAGAAAACACCGAAACGCAGCACUUUGACCUGAACAAACUAGAACAUUCAUCGGUAUGUAAUAAUGUACAUGGUUGUAAACAGGGUUGACGGGGGGGUUCGAUUCCAUUUCAAAUCAGAAAGUUAAAACCAAAUUACAAUUCCAAAUGUUUCCUCAUUAAAAAGCAUUGACGAUUGUUGAAAUUCCAAUUUUUCCUUCCUGAAUUGAAAUGGAAUUUACCCCCAACCUUGGUUGUAAACUAAUAGAUGUCCACUCUGGGCCACCGUAGUAGUGGACAUAAGAGCCUGGAGUUACUACUGACCCCUUGACCUGACCAGGUAGGCAUAUUUAACAGCUGUUUGGCUGUUGUUUGGCAGACCAGGUUCAUUCAUAUACCAAAUCAAUUCCUUUCCUUUUUAAGACAACACUGACCGGUGUCUAAGAGCAUUGGGCUUAAUAUAAAGGAGACUGGGGCUGCAUGGGAGAUAUCUCAAUCCACUACACUGGCUUCCUUCUUUCAUCUCCUUUCCUUCAUGAUAGGUGAGAGAGGCUUUCACCAUAUGUUGCUUCCACCUGCCAGAUCAGAGAUCACGAAGGAGAAGUACAAUGAAAGGAAGCACGCUUACACUAUUGAGACAGCCCAGGUCCUGUAUCUAGAUUGGGGAAGUAACCUAUUAUACUCACUACUUAAAUAAACACAUUUUUAAAAAAGAAUUUGCAAGGCACAGUGAAAUUUACAACUGGUAAACAUCAGUUACCUAGACAUCAUUAAAUCCAGUAGGUUUCUAGUAAUAUGGCCUAACGACAGAUUCUAAUUUGGUCCAAAAGGAUAGACAAGUUUGAGUGCAUUUGCAGCAAACAGAUGACAUAUCUUAACCUUUAGACAGUACCAGGUCAUAUCUUAACCUUUAGACAGUACCAGGUCAUAUCUUAACCUUUAGACAGUACCAGGUCAUAUCUUAACCUUUAGGUAGUACCAGGUCAUAUCUUAACCUUUAGACAGUACCAGGUCAUAUCUUAACCUUUAGGUAGUACCAGGUCAUAUCUUAACCUUUAGACAGUACCAGGUCAUCUCUUAACCUUUAGACAGUACCAGGUCAUGUCUUAA
ensembl:lncRNA